rnacentral:rRNA from 1 species
GAUGAACGCUGGCGGCGUGCUUAAUACAUGCAAGUCGAGCGGACGCACGAGAUUCGGGCUGCUGGCAUGUGAGCGGCGGACGGGUGAUUCACAGGUACAUAACCUACCUAUGAGACUGGGAUGACGUCGGGAAACCGAAUCUCACACCCGAUCAGAUGGUGAACCGCAUGGUUCAUAAGUGAAAGAGGGUCUUGCGGUCACGAUGAGAUGUAUCCGCGCUGCAUUAGCUAGUUGGUACGGUAACGGCUUACCAAGGCAACGAUGCGUAGCCGACCUGAGAGGGUGAUCGGCCACACUGGAACUGAGACACGGUCCAGACUCCUACGGGAGGCAGCAGUGGGGAAUCUUCGGCAAUGGGCGAAAGCCUGAUGGAGCAACGCCGCGUGAGUGAUGAAGGUCUUCGGAUCGUAAAGCUCUGUUAGCAGGGAAGAACAUAUGUGUACGUAAACGUCGGCAUGUUGACGGUACCUGAAGAAAAAGCAACGGCUAACUACGUG